rnacentral:rRNA from 1 species
AGAGUUUGAUCCUGGCUCAGGAUGAACGCUAGCUACAGGCUUAACACAUGCAAGUCGAGGGGAAACGACAUCGAAAGCUUGCUUUUGAUGGGCGUCGACCGGCGCACGGGUGAGUAACGCGUAUCCAACCUGCCCAUCACUUGGGGAUAACCUUGCGAAAGUAAGACUAAUACCCAAUGACGUCUCUAGAAGACAUCUGAAAGAGAUUAAAGAUUUAUCGGUGAUGGAUGGGGAUGCGUCUGAUUAGCUUGUUGGCGGGGUAACGCCACAAGGCGACGAUCAGUAGGGGUUCUGAGAGGAAGGUCCCCCANAUUGGAACUGAGACACGGUCCAAACCUCCUACGGGGAGCA